UACGUAGGGGGCUAGCGUUGUCCGGAAUCAUUGGGCGUAAAGAGCUCGUAGGCGGUUUGUCGCGUCUGCUGUGAAAACCCGGGGCUCAACCCCGGGCCUGCAGUCGAUACGGGCAGACUAGAGUGCGGUAGGGGAGACUGGAAUUCCUGGUGUAGCGGUGAAAUGCGCAGAUAUCAGGAGGAACACCGGUGGCGAAGGCGGGUCUCUGGGCCGUAACUGACGCUGAGGAGCGAAAGCGUGGGGAGCGAACAGG
rnacentral:rRNA from 1 species